UCCUGAAUCUCUCUCCAGUGUUCCUGGAUCCCUCCGGAUCCCUCCCCGAUGUUCCUGAUCCCUCCCCAUGGAGGGCAGGGAGAGCUGGGAAAUUCCCCAAAUCUUUUUGGGAAGGGGGAACACCCCAGAAGACGAUGGAUCUCGGAAGAAAAUCCUCCAGGAAAACGGAAUUCCUGUUGGAAGCGCUCUGCUCUGUGCGUGGAAGCUGCCUGUGCUUAUUUACAGGCCAGCCCCAGGUGCAGCUCCGAGGGAAGCUGGAUCCUUUCCUUGGUAUGAUGGGAUUAAAAAAGGAUUAUUGCUGGUGGGAACAAAUUCAUCUUUGGGGAGCACAGCUCUGCUUUCCCGAGGAGGUGGAGGCUCUUUCCACGAACUCUGGGAAUCCAGGGAUUUGAG
rnacentral:lncRNA from 1 species